rnacentral:rRNA from 1 species
GUAAGGAAUAUUGGGCAAUGGAGGAAACUCUGACCCAGCCAUGCCGCGUGCAGGACGACAGCCCUAGUGGUUGUAAACUGCUUUUAUACGGGAAGAAACACUCCGACGUGUCGGAAUUUGACGGUACCGUAUGAAUAAGCAUCGGCUAACUCCGUGCCAGCAGCCGCGGUAAUACGGAGGAUGCAAGCGUUAUCCGGAUUUAUUGGGUUUAAAGGGUGUGUAGGCGGAAUGGUAAGUCAGUGGUGAAAUCCUACAGCUUAACUGUAGAACUGCCAUUGAAACUGCUGUUCUUGAGUAUAGUUGAGGUGGGCGGAAUGUGUCAUGUAGCGGUGAAAUGCAUAGAUAUGACACGGAACACCGAUUGCGAAGGCAGCUCACUAAACUAUUACUGACGCUGAGGCACGAAAGCGUGGGGAGCGAACAGG